GGAGUGACACAGUGACAGAGUGAGGAAGGGGGUGACACAGUGACAGAGUGAGGGAGGGGUUGACUAGUGACAGAGUGAAGGAGGUGGUGACUGUCACUAGUCACCCCAUCCCUCCCUUUGUCACUAAUCACCAUCUCCCUCACUCUGUCACUAGUCACCCCUUCCCUCCCUCACUCUGUCACUAGUCACCCCCUCCCUCUCUCUGUCACUAGUCACACCC